CAAUUGAAUGAAAGCUCACUCAAUGAGACAUAAAGAAUCCAAGUGGAUGUUUCCGCAUUUUUCCGGCUUGCUCUCAUUAAGUUAUGUUGUUGGGCUUGAUUUUUUAGUUAAAGACUGCCCAUUUAUAAUGAUGUCCUUGUUGGAUCUAUUUGCUUUUGAAGAGGUUGACUUAGAUGCUCUGUCACCAUUGUUUUCUUCUGAAUCAGAAACCAUUUCAUCUAGAUCUUCUGACAAAGUAGGAGAGGCUUUGCUGGAGCAGAAGUCAAGCAAAAUUAUAGCAUUAAAAUUUCAAAAGAUGCAGACAAUGUUAUUGAGUUACUUUUGGUUUUUGGCCUGAAUGGAACUGAACCGAAUUGAUUUUUUUCCCUCCAAACAACCCAGCUGUUCCAGACCCAUCUUCAACUGAAACCGAAUCAAAACAGAACUGAGAAAAUUGGGUUGGAUUGGUUCAGCAAGAUAUCUCCUGCAAAUGUCCUUGAAAGAAACAAAUCCAAAUCCACGGAAACAUCAGAAAAUGUCUUUCUUGUGAAUGAGAUUGAAUCUAAUCUAGGUAUAGAAGAGGAAACAGCUGAAGCCUGCAAUGGUGAGGCAUUUCUGAAGUGUGUACUUGAAGAUUCCCCAAGAUUGUCCGACUUCAAUGAUUUAGUUUAGUUUAGUUUAUUGGGUGCAAACAGGGAAGGGAUUAUAAUGUUUGGUUGAAGGAUCAACAAAGAUUUCAAUAGUGGAAAUGUGAGAUAUAUGCAGUUUUUAGGCGCCAGAAAUGCAGAAGGAAAUGAAACAUAAAUUGUGUUUGUAUGUUCAUUCUUGAUGUGCAUAAAAGCAGUAGACUGACUAAGAACCUUGUACUUGUAAACUGGAAAAUCGUUUUCUGAACCACUUAUAUUUAUAGGUGUAGUAGCUUUGAUUUUUGUGGGUA